rnacentral:rRNA from 1 species
UACGAAGGGAGCUAGCGUUGUUCGGAAUCACUGGGCGUAAAGCGCACGUAGGCGGACUCUUAAGUCGGUGGUGAAAUCCUGGAGCUCAACUCCAGAACUGCCUUCGAUACUGGGAGUCUCGAGUCCGGGAGAGGUGAGUGGAACUGCGAGUGUAGAGGUGAAAUUCGAUAGAUAUUCGCAAGAACACCAGUGGCGAAGGCGGCUCACUGGCCCGGUACUGACGCUGAGGUGCGAAAGCGUGGGGAGCAAACAGG